rnacentral:rRNA from 1 species
GACGGAGGGUGCAAGCGUUGCUCGGAAUCAUUGGGCGUAAAGGGUGCGUAGGCGGCUUCUCAAGUCUGGCGUGAAAGCCCAGGGCUUAGCCCUGGAAGGGCGCUAGAAACUGGGGAGCUCGAGUGCCGGAGGGGAGAGUGGAAUUCCCGGUGUAGCGGUGAAAUGCGUAGAUAUCGGGAGGAAUACCGGUGGCGAAAGCGACUCUCUAGACGGUUACUGACGCUGAGGCACGAAAGCGUGGGGAGCAAACAGG